rnacentral:rRNA from 1 species
GGGCCCGCACAAGCGGCGGAGCAUGCGGAUUAAUUCGAUGCAACGCGAAGAACCUUACCUGGGUUUGACAUAUGGAGAAAUCCCCUAGAGAUAGGGGGUCCGCAAGGGCUCUAUACAGGUGGUGCAUGGCUGUCGUCAGCUCGUGUCGUGAGAUGUUGGGUUAAGUCCCGCAACGAGCGCAACCCUCGUCUUAUGUUGCCAGCACGUAAUGGUGGGGACUCAUAAGAGACUGCCGGGGUCAACUCGGAGGAAGGUGGGGGUGACGUCAAGUCAUCAUGCCCCUUAUGUCCAGGGCUUCACGCAUGCUACAAUGGCCGGUACAAAGGGCUGCGAUACCGCAAGGUGGAGCGAAUCCCAAAAAGCCGGUCUCAGUUCGGAUUGGGGUCUGCAACUCGACCCCAUGAAGUCGGAGUCGCUAGUAAUCGCAGA